rnacentral:rRNA from 1 species
CACAGAGCCGUAUCUCCCUGCAGUUCUCGCCUGGUUUCCCACGGAAGCUUAGCAGGGCUGAGCCUGGUCAGUACCUGGAUGGGAGACCUGGGGAAAAUGAAGGUUGCUGCUGGAA